GGUUAAGCGACUAAGCGUACACGGUGGAUGCCCUGGCAGUCAGAGGCGAUGAAGGACGUGCUAAUCUGCGAAAAGCGCCGGCGAGGUGAUAUGAACCYUUGACCCGGCGAUGUCCGAAUGGGGAAACCCAGUGCAAUCCGUUGCACUAUCGUUAACUGAAUACAUAGGUUAACGAGGCGAACCGGGGGAACUGAAACAUCUAAGUACCCCGAGGAAAAGAAAUCAACCGAGAUUCCCCCAGUAGCGGCGAGCGAACGGGGAGCAGCCCGGAGUCUGAAUCAGCUUGUGUGUUAGUGGAACGGUCUGGAAAGUCCGACGGUACAGGGUGAUAGUCCCGUACACGAAAGCACACUUGCUGUGAACUCGAAGAGUAGGGCGGGACACGUGGUAUCCUGUCUGAAUAUGGGGGGACCAUCCUCCAAGGCUAAAUACUCCUGACUGACCGAUAGUGAACCAGUACCGUGAGGGAAAGGCGAAAAGAACCCCGGCGAGGGGAGUGAAAAAGAACCUGAAACCGUGUACGUACAAGCAGUGGGAGCCUCUUUAUGGGGUGACUGCGUACCUUUUGUAUAAUGGGUCAGCGACUUAUAUUCUGUAGCAAGGUUAACCGUAUAGGGGAGCCGAAGGGAAACCGAGUCUUAACUGGGCGUUA
rnacentral:rRNA from 1 species